UGGGGAAUAUUGCACAAUGGGGGAACCCUGAUGCAGCGACGCCGCGUUAACGAAGAAGGUAUUCGUAUCGUAAAGUUCUGUCCUAUGGGAAGAUAAUGACAGUACCAUAGAAGAAAGCUCCGGCUUAAUUCGUGGCAGCAGCCGCGGUAAUACGUAUGGAGCGAGCGUUGUCCGGAAUUAUUGGGCGUAAAGGGUACGCAGGCGGUUUAAUAAGUCGAAUGUUAAAGAUCGGGGCUCAACCCCGCAAAGCAUUGGAAACUGAUAAACUUGAGUAGUGGAGAGGAAAGUGGAAUUCCUAGUGUAGUGGUGAAAUACGUAGAUAUUAGGAGGAAUACCAGUAGCGAAGGCGACUUUCUGGACACAAACUGACGCUGAGGUACGAAAGCGUGGGGAGCAAACAGG
rnacentral:rRNA from 1 species